rnacentral:rRNA from 1 species
CCUACGGGUGGCAGCAGUGAGGAAUAUUGGUCAAUGGGCGAGAGCCUGAACCAGCCAAGUCGCGUGAAGGAUGACUGCCCUAUGGGUUGUAAACCUCUUUUAUCAGGGAAUAAAACGAGGCACGUGUGCCUUUUUGCGUGUACCUGAAGAAUAAGGAUCGGCUAACUCCGUGCCAGCAGCCGCGGUAAUACGGAGGAUCCGAGCGUUAUCCGGAUUUAUUGGGUUUAAAGGGUGCGUAGAUGGGUUGUUAAGUCAGUGGUGAAAGUGUGCGGCUCAACCGUAAAAUUGCAAUUGAUACUGGCAGUCUUGAGUACAGUUGAGGUAGGCGGAAUUCGUGGUGUAGCGGUGAAAUGCUUAGAUAUCACGAAGAACCCCGAUUGCGAAGGCAGCUUACUAAACUGUGACUGACAUUGAUGCUCGAAAGUGUGGGUAUCAAACAGGAUUAGAUACCCUUGUAGUC